rnacentral:rRNA from 1 species
GUAGUCCUGGCUGUAAACGAUGUCGACUUGGAGGUUGUGCCCUUGAGGCGUGGCUUCCGGAGCUAACGCGUUAAGUCGACCGCCUGGGGAGUACGGCCGCAAGGUUAAAACUCAAAUGAAUUGACGGGGGCCCGCACAAGCGGUGGAGCAUGUGGUUUAAUUCGAUGCAACGCGAAGAACCUUACCUGGUCUUGACAUCCACAGAACUUUCCAGAGAUGGAUUGGUGCCUUCGGGAACUGUGAGACAGGUGCUGCAUGGCUGUCGUCAGCUCGUGUUGUGAAAUGUUGGGUUAAGUCCCGCAACGAGCGCAACCCUUAUCUUUUGUUGCCAGCGGUCCGGCCGGGAACUCAAAGGAGACUGCCAGUGAUAAACUGGAGGAAGGUGGGGAUGACGUCAAGUCAUCAUGGCCCUUACGACCAGGGCUACACACGUGCUACAAUGGCGCAUACAAAGAGAAGCGACCUCGCGAGAGCAAGCGGACCUCAUAAAGUGCGUCGUAGUCCGGAUUGGAGUCUGCAACUCGACUCCAUGAAGUCGGAAUCGCUAGUAAUCGUGGAUCAGAAUGCCACGGUGAAUACGUUCCCGGGCCUUGUACACACCGCCCGUCACACCAUGGGAGUGGGUUGCAAAAGAAGUAGGUAGCUUAACCUUCGGGAGGGCGCUUACCACUUUGUGAUUCAUGACUGGGGUGAAGUCGUAACAAGGUAACCGUAGGGGAACCUGCGGCUGGAUCACCUCC